rnacentral:rRNA from 1 species
GACAGAGGCCUCGAGCGUUAGGCGGAAUCACUGGGCUUAAAGCGUGUGUAGGCGGGCCCGUAAGUGUCUUGUGAAAUCCCACGGCUCAACCGUGGAACUGCUGGGCAUACUGCGGGUCUUGGGCCAACUAGGGGCAGCCGGAACAAGCGGUGGAGCGGUGAAAUGCGUAGAUAUCAGGAGGAACACCUGUGGUGUAGACGGCUUUCUGGACCAUAGCUGACGCUGAGACACGAAAGCGUGGGUAGCAAACAGG